rnacentral:rRNA from 1 species
UACGUAGGGUGCAAGCGUUGCCCGGAUUUAUUGGGCGUAAAGGGCGCGUAGGCGGCUCUGCACGUCCGUUGUGAAAUCGCCCGGCUCAACUGGGCGGGGUCAGCGGAUACGGCAGAGCUUGAGCAGCUAGGGGGCAAUGGAAUUCCCGGUGUAGUGGUGGAAUGCGUAGAGAUGCGGAGGAACACCGAUGGCGAAGGCAGCCCCCUGGGCUGACACUGACGCUCAGGCACGAAAGCGUGGGGAGCAAACAGG